rnacentral:lncRNA from 1 species
AAUCAAAUAAAUAAAAGACCCGCUCUUGCCUUAUGGUUCAAGGCGGGUAACAAAUCGGAUCCAAAAAUAUAUAUAUAAAUUGAAUCAAAAAUUAAAUCCAUAAACUAAUAAAAUAAAACCAUACAUAAUUAUUAUUUAAUAUCUAACUCACAUUUUAAUUUUUUUUAUUCUUAAUUUAAUUUCAUUUUUGCAUUCAACCAAAAAUAAUAAAAUUCAUUCAAAUAAAUAUAUAUGAUCUUUAUGCUUAAUUAAAUUAUAAUAUGUUUAUAAUUGGCCAUUUUUGGAAUCAAACUUUAUUUAUAUGUAAAAUUCAUUAUUUUUAUUAUUAUAUUUUUUUUUAUUUCUGAAAAUCGGAUGAACAGUGCUCAACAGUGCAUGAACAGUGUUCAACAGUGUGUAAAUAGUGUUCAACAGUGUGUAAAUAGUGUCUAAAUAGUGCGUGAACAGUGUAUUUCUAGAAAACUAAGAACGUUUACUGUUCAUCGAUGAACAAUUACUGUUCAUCGAUGAAUAGCUGCAUUAUUAUUAUUAUUAUUAUUUUUUAUAGAAUUUAUUUUUAAGUUUUUACAAUAUUUCUUAUUUAAAUGUUAUUUAAGGGCAUAUAAAAUGGCCAAAUAUAAACAUACUACAAUUUAAAGAAACUCAAGUUACUAAAAUCACAAAAAUAUAUAAAAAGCACAAAAAUAUGUAAAGAAAUAAAAAUACAAGAAUAUGUAAAAAAUACAAAAAUGUUAAGGAAAAUAACUGAUACUCAGAUUGAGUAUUGUAAAUGGAUCAAAUGUCUUUUUAGAUCUCCUAGAAGCUUGAUUUCCAAGGAUUUAACUGUUUUUUAUUUAUUUAUUUUUCUUAUUUUCUUACUUUUUAUAUUUUAAUUGACCUAAAAUUAAUAUCUAAUGACAAUUUCUUUUCAAAAUAAUUCACAAGAGAAAUUUAAAGAUUAUGAAGUGUAGUAGUAGAAGUUGUACAUUGUGCAGUUGUGGUGAGAGAGAGGAAGGAAAGAGGAGCC